rnacentral:tRNA from 10 species
GGGUCGUUAGCUCAGUUGGUAGAGCAGCGGACUUUUAAUCCGUUGGUCGCAGGUUCGAAUCCUGCACGACCCACCA